CCUACGGGGGGCAGCAGUGGGGAAUAUUGGGCAAUGGGCGCAAGCCUGACCCAGCAACGCCGCGUGAAGGAAGAAGGCUCUCGGGUUGUAAACUUCUUUUAUCAGGGACGAAACAAGUGACGGUACCUGAUGAAUAAGCACCGGCUAACUACGUGCCAGCAGCCGCGGUAAUACGUAGGGGGCAAGCGUUAUCCGGAUUUACUGGGUGUAAAGGGCGUGUAGGCGGGUGUGCAAGUCAGAUGUGAAAUCUUAUGGCUUAACCAUGGAACUGCAUUUGAAACUGUAGUUCUUGAGUGAUGGAGAGGUAGGUGGAAUUCCGGGUGUAGCGGUGAAAUGCGUAGAGAUAAGGAGGAAUACUAGUUGCGAAGGCGGCCUGCUGGACAUUAACUGACGCUGAGGCGCGAAAGCGUGGGGAGCAAACAGGAUUAGAUACCCGGGUAGUC
rnacentral:rRNA from 1 species